UCCCCGAUCACAAUCUCGUUGACUAAAUCCUUAAACACCAGCCGCUCAACAUCUAACACGACACCUGGGACCUCACAGGAGAAGUCUGUCCAACUCUCUGACCGAUGCAUUACGUCCUCUGUCAAGAUCCCUUUCAGGCCAUCUUCCUCUUCUUCCAAGUCCCACACUGCUUUCCAGCCCUCAACUUGUUCCAUCUCCUGACACAGUUCUUUCAGGAAUUUUUGGGCAUUCAGGGUUUUUUUUGCCAGUUUAUCAGACUUCAAAUAUGGCUCUGAAUUCACCCCCAGCAAAGCUAAUUUCUGGACAAGAACCUCAUUAACAGUGUCGAAUAUGAGCUUCCGGUGGAACUUCUCCUGAU
rnacentral:lncRNA from 1 species